GGAUUAGGCAUGCAAGUCGCACGAGAAAGGCUUCUUCGGAGGCCGAGUAAAGUGGCGGACGGGUGAGUAAUGCAUGGAUAACUUGCCCUUGAGAUGGGGACAACGCCUCGAAAGGGGUGCUAAUACCAAAUACCGCCGCGGGUCGCCGGAUCUGCGGUGAAAGGAGGCCCCUGAUUCAAGCUUCCGCUCAAGGAGAGGUUCAUGUCCUAUUAGCUAGUUGGCGGGGUAACGGCCACCAAGGCUUCGAUGGGUAGCCGACCUGAGAGGGUGACCGGCCACAUUGGGACUGAGACACUGCCCAGACUCCUACGGGAGGCUGCAGUCGAGAAUCUUCCGCAAUGCGCGCAAGCGUGACGGAGCGACGCCGCGUGGGUGACGAAGGCUUUCGGGUUGUAAAACCCUGUCAGCUGUUAUGAAAGGCGGGCGAUGAACAAUUGUCCCGCUUGACGUAAGCAGCAGAGGAAGCACCGGCUAACUACGUGCCAGCAGCCGCGGUAAUACGUAGGGUGCGAACGUUGUUCGGAAUCACUGGGCAUAAAGGGCGUGUAGGCGGUCGUACAAGUCAGAUGUGAAAGCCCCCGGCCUAACCGGGGAACUGCAUUUGAUACUGUGCGGCUAGAGUGCAGGAGGGGAGAGUGGAAUUCCUGGUGGAGCGGUGAAAUGCGUAGAUAUCAGGAGGAACGCCGGUGGCGAAAGCGACUCUCUGGCCUGCAACUGACGCUGAGGCGCGAAAGCUAGGGGAGCAAACGGGAUUAGAUACCCCGGUAGUCCUAGCCCUAAACGAUGGGCACUAAGUAGAGGGGUUUU
rnacentral:rRNA from 1 species